rnacentral:tRNA from 1 species
UCAGUCGUGGCUAGUAGUUAAGGCAAUGGACUAGAAAUUCAUUGGGGUCUUCCCGCAAAGGUUCAAAUCCUGUCGACUGCG